GUCAGCGCAAAGCCCAACACAGGGCUCAAUCCCAUCAACUUGAUGAGACAUCCCUGGGAGAAGCUCUGAUGAAACACCAUGGAGGACUUUCCACUGGAAAAGAAGAGCUGACAGGCCUCUCCAGGGCAAGAAGCUUUGAAAGCUGCCAAAGGAUUUCAAAGUUGCAUGAAGUGAAGAUCCAGGUGGAACCAACUAGCUGCACAGCUGCAUAGUCGUGAAGAAAAGACCAGAGCAGGAGACACAGCAGCCAACUGAACAGAUUAACUGCUUGUUAUCGGUAAACCGAGGAGACCAUCAUAGAGGCCAUCUGUUCACGGGACAGAGGGCCAGGACUCAGCAAUCCUUUGCAAUAAUGAGCUGAUUCUUAAAGGAAGUCACUCUUCUUUCUAAGGGUCUUGGUGGCAGACGAGGGUGGCAGCCAGAUGCCAGCCAGGGAGAGGCCCCGGAGCCCUGUGAGGUGGAGAAGGCCUGUGAGUGGCCCAAACCAGAGUUCCACCGCUGGGCUCUGCCUGGAGCAGGCUGUGAGGCUUUGUCGAAGAAAAUCUGAAAACCUAAAGCUAAAGCAAGAGGCUGGAAGAAAGAACAGGGUCCAAAGCAGAAUGCUCAACUUCAAGCCAUUUGCCUAAAUUUACUUUUUCAGAUGGCUUCUGCUAGGAGGUAGAAAAUGAAAGGCUUCUUUAUGCGGUACUAAAAUUGGUAACAGAGUUCCUCCCGCCCUCCCGCAUCCCCCCACCCACGUCCAGGCACCUGAUGGUGCCUGAGGUUCUGGCAACCACUGCAUACAACAGUCUCGAAAGGUUCCCCUGGGGCCAGCCUGGAGCACCAUCACUGGGAACACAGCUCACAUCAGCACCCCUUGCUUUGCCAAAGCAGAAAUGGCCUGGGUCCAAGAGUGAAAUCUGAUGGAAGAAAUUAAAGCAGGAUGCCAUUCUCCCUAAUUUUCAGGAAAGCCUCAGAUGAUCCUGCUUUUUAGCAGGAGAAAUCAGGACAAAUCCCCUGCUUCUUUAUUUUUACACUUACUGAUAAACAACCCAUCUUGUUUUUUCCUCUCACUCCAAGCAGUACCAACUUCUGUAAUGGUUAAUAGAUAGCAAUCAAAACACUGUAUCCCCUGCAAUUUCAAUUAGAGACCAAAGGAAAUUAGCUUGGCUUGAAAAGAAGAUAAAUUCCAUCUCUAUAUCAUGUACAUAUAUACAAGAGACAAAUAAUAAUCACUGGUCCCAUAACAAUCUCCAAAGAUACUGAGAGAUAAUAUCCACAGGUACUAUAGAGUCUCAGUAAUAUAUUAACUAAUCAAUGAAUCUCUCUGCAAUGUCUUCCUCUGAUGUUCCUAAUCCUUCCCAUUCUCAUGCCACAGCUGCCCUAUCAGUACAUCUUUCUGUUGCAUCUUCCCGCUAAGUAAUUUUCUCAUGUGUUUUCUUAAUGGG